AAAAGGUGGUGUUUCAUCAGGGAAAAAAAAUCUCAACGUAUUGAAAAUGUUUUGUUUCAAGCUCAGAGUAGUUCUUACCCUCUCUCCCAUUUCAUUCAUGUUGAUACUUGAUGUUGCGUGCAAAUUACCACUAUAAUUUUUUGAGCCAUUCACAAGUCACGAAUUUAGCUGAAGACAGAAUUUUUUAAAAAUGUUACUUCUCAUUAAUUGGUGGAUAUUUGACCCCCACCCCCCACCCCACCUAGAUAUGGUCUCCAAAACUUCAAAAUCCUAAGUUAAGCUUCAUCUCCAGCAAGGUCUAAUUGUUAAGCCACUCACCUCUAUAACAGCUGUCUGAAGUACCGUGGAUGGUAGAAUUUUAGACCUAAAUGCCAAUUAGAUGAUUUAAUAAGCCCAUCCACAUUGAUUUGAAUACAGUAAUAAAUAUUCAAUAUAUUUCACAUUUUCCCAGUUUGUUGUUUUCUCCAAAACUCUAAUUUUCAGAGCUCAGAAUACAAUAAAAGAAACAUCAGUGUUGUACACAUUCUUACCAAGCAAGUUUUCCAGUAAGAUAUCCACCUCUGGUCACAGAGGUUUCUUCAACAAUCUGCAAGUCAAACAGAUCUUUCUUACCAUGUUCAGAGAGGAAUUAUUUUUUAAUUCAUGAAAAGUGUUAGAAACAAACCUUACCUAGUCUUACUCCCCUUUCAGGUCUAAAUGCUAGGAGACCUACCACUGUAGGCCAACUCAAAUAGCUAUGACCUGGGGAGCUUCCAAUUGGUGAAGAACUCCUAGACUUUCUUCGUUAUUUCAUCACUGACAGGCAGAUUUAACUAUUUGGGGAAGCUGCUCACUAUCAGCAUAGUAUAUUUAUGCCUUCUCUUGUCUGGAAGUUGAAGCUCUUGCUGCCUUGUCCUUCUUUAAUUUGCUGACUCGGGCGCUGCAGUCCUGUCUGAAUCUCGUUUGAUCCUCAUUUCGACUAAGAUAUCUUUAAUGCCGGUUAUUCACUGUCCACUCCUUUUACUUGUCAGAAUUCAGAGAGAUCUAGGUCUAAGUCACUGAUUACCUUACAAGUUUCACAUUUUUACAAAAGAUUAACACGCUGGUAUUGUUUUCUCUAUAUAACAUCAAGAGUCAUUCCAUCACCAUUAAAAACAGAUUGAAUGUCUUAACCAAUUACUCAUUAUGUUGCUGGAUUCAGUGACAGACUUAGAAGGGAUGAGUCUGAUCUACCUUUGCAGGAAAUGCACAUAUAUGUACUAAUGUAAGCCCCCCCCCCCCCCGAGAUAGCCUAUGGGGAGAUGGCAUAUAAAUUUAAAAAAUAAGGAA